AAUUAAUUAAUUGGAUGUGUGAAUAAAAUAUAAACAUGCAAAAGAGAAUGAUUCAAUUGACAAGAAGAAAACAAUGGAUAAAUGGAGUUGUUGGGGGUUUACAAUUUCAUCUAAUCCGCUCUCUCUUAUUUACUCCUCUAGAAUUAUUAGCUUGAUUAAUUAAUUUUCAUGCAACUUUCUUAGCCUACCCUUAACCCGAUCCCUCGGCGAAAAGAGCCUAAUACUAAUUACUGGCUUGCUAUCCUUAGCCUCCCCUAGCAAUUAAUACAGCAUUAUAGAGCACAAGUUAAACGUAUUGAUCGUCCUACCCCUAUCCCUAGCUGGUAUUGCAUAGCCAAGGAAUUACUCACCAGUUCAUGAAAUUACUGUACGUCC
rnacentral:lncRNA from 1 species